AUUGAACGCUGGCGGCAGGCCUAACACAUGCAAGUCGAGCGGAUGAGGAGUGCUUGCACUCCGAUUCAGCGGCGGACGGGUGAGUAAUGCCUAGGAAUCUGCCUGGUAGUGGGGGACAACGUUUCGAAAGGAACGCUAAUACCGCAUACGUCCUACGGGAGAAAGUGGGGGAUCUUCGGACCUCACGCUAUCAGAGGAGCCUGGGUCGGAUUAGCUAGUUGGUGAGGUAAAGGCUCACCAAGGCGACGAUCCGUAACUGGUCUGAGAGGAUGAUCAGACACACUGGAACUGAGACACGGGCCAGACUCCUACGGGAGGCAGCAGUGGGGAAUAUUGGACAAGGGGCGAAAGCCUGAUCCAGCCAUGCCGCGCGUGUGAAGAAGGUCUUCGGAUUGUAAAGCACUUUAAGUUGGGAGGAAGGGCUGUAGGCUAAUAUCCUGCAGUUUUGACGUUACCGACAGAAUAAGCACCGGCUAACUUCGUGCCAGCCGCCGCAGUAA
rnacentral:rRNA from 1 species